rnacentral:rRNA from 1 species
CUUCGGUGUAGAUGGCGAGUGGCGGACGGGUGAGUAACGCGUACACAACCUACCUAUAAGAGGGGGAUAGCCACUGGAAACGGUGAAUAAUACCCCAUAGUAUUACUUUUAUGAUAUAUGAGUAAUUAAAGUUUAGGCGCUUAUAGAUGGGUGUGCGUCCGAUUAGCUAGUUGGUAAGGUAACGGCUUACCAAGGCGACGAUUGGUAGGGGGCGUGAGAGCGUGAACCCCCACACGGGUACUGAGACACGGACCCG